GUGUUCGCGGGGUUUGAUUUCCAAGGCCAAGCUUUGUAGCAUUUCUUUCGGAAGCUUUGAGGUUGAGCAAGUGAUGAACUGGUGGCUGAGUGGAGUUGGUGGUCGUAUUAUCUCUUUUGUAGGAUUUUCGUGGCAUGUGUCUUCAUACACAUGACCACAUGGUUACAACUCCUUCCGCUGUGUUUUUUUUUGUCGUAGUAUUUUGUAGUAGAUGGGUCAUAGGAAAAACGAUCAGUAACGAGUGAUCCGUGAUAAACACUCUUUCAAAUUCUCAUGAUCUUUAUUGUCUCGUGAACAUUUUUCAUCUUAUGAAGAAAUAUUUGUGUCUUA